rnacentral:rRNA from 1 species
GACGAACGCUGGCGGCGUGCUUAACACAUGCAAGUCGAACGGUAAGGCCCUUCGGGGUACACGAGUGGCGAACGGGUGAGUAACACGUGGGUGAUCUGCCCUGCACUUCGGGAUAAGCCUGGGAAACUGGGUCUAAUACCGGAUAGGACCACUGCCUGCAUGGGUGGUGGUGGAAAGCUUUUGCGGUGUGGGAUGGGCCCGGGGCCUAUCAGCUUGUUGGUGGGGUGAUGGCCGACCAAGGCGACGACGGGUAGCCGGCCUGAGAGGGUGACCGGCCACACUGGGACUGAGAUACGGCCCAGACUCCUACGGGAGGCAGCAGUGGGGAAUAUUGCACAAUGGGCGCAAGCCUGAUGCAGUGACGCCGCGUGAGGGAUGACGGCCUUCGGGUUGUAAACCUCUUUCAGCACCGACGAAGCGCAAGUGACGGUAGGUGCAGAAGAAGGACCGGCCAACUACGUGCCAGCCGCCGCGGUAA